AGUUACCUCGUGAAAGGACAGCAAAAGUCAGGGAGUGGUACAAACCUGGAAGGAGUUCAUACAAAAGCUUCCCACAUGGAUUCCAGCCUCUCUUCUCUCUUGUCUAUGAGGUGUGGCUGGCAGGAGCAAGGAAACCAGCAGGUUACUCCAUUUUCAUGACCAGGAUUAUUAUGGGGUCACAGUGACUGCAUGGAACGUGCCACACUAAAUUCUGGAACAGGACUAGAAACUGAUUCUUCCUGCUCAUGUGAUCCGCACCUGCACCCAUGAAGCUGAAAUGAAAGACGGGCUCCCUGUGGCUCACUGCCAAAACCCCAGCAGUGGACUGAUAUUUGACAUUGCCAAAAACAAACCAGAAGAAAUCUUGAAUAGUCCUCCCUGUAGGAG